rnacentral:rRNA from 1 species
GACGAACGCUGGCGGCGUGCUUAACACAUGCAAGUCGAGCGGUAAGGCCCUUCGGGUACGACGAGCGGCGAACGGGUGAGUAACACGUGGGUGACCUGCCCUUAGCUCUGGGAUAAGCCUGGGAAACGUGGGUCUAAUACCGGAUAUGACCUCAUGACGCAUGUUGUGGGGUGGAAAGCCUUGUGCGGCUAGGGAUGGGCCCGCGGCCUAUCAGCUUGUUGGUGGGGUGAUGGCCACCAAGGCGACGACGGGUAGCCGGCCUGAGAGGGCGACCGGCCACACUGGGACUGAGACACGGCCCAGACUCCUACGGGAGGCAGCAGUGGGGAAUAUUGCACAAUGGGCGGAAGCCUGAUGCAGCGACGCCGCGUGAGGGAUGACGGCCUCGG